ACAAACAGAUGCUCAGGGUCUUCAAUCUCGUAGAACUUGUAGAGUUUGAUCACUUGGUCGUCGAAGCUUGACCGUCAAUUCCUCGAAGCUUGGAAACGAAUCGUGAUCUAAUCGCAACGCGAAGCGAAGACGAACAAGCACAAGCAAACAAACAUAUGUAUAUGCAUAAGAACAUUACACUAUACAAGAUAAAAUAUUAUAAAUGCGAACAAUAUAAAAUAGAGAGCGCCUCUACGGUUACGCGAGGAAAAGAACCACGAUAGACGAAGCUAUGGUCGAGGGGUUAGCACGUUUACGCUAAACAAGUAUUAAUUAGAACAUCCAAUUCGACAUAAUUAUAUUAAUGGAUAUUAAUCAAAUAUAAAUUAAUACUACUACUUAGUUUUGACUAACUUACUAUUUUAAUAUUUGACAGUUAAGCAAGUAACUUAAUUAAUAUGAGCGAUUCUAAGCGAGACGAAUUAACGACGCACGACGUGCAAACACGAUGUGCGUGACGCGCGGACACAAACGACUUAGCGUGCAGACAACGCGCGAUACGCGCGAACGGCACGUGGCAAGGCGCGACACACGUGAACGACGCGCGACAACGCGUGCGAACAACACGAUGACGACGAGCGCCACAACACGACAGAGUGCAGACGACGCGCGAACUCGCGCAACAUAGCACGCUGACGGCACACAAAAACAGUGCGCGCGACCAGGGCGAACGACGUGCGAACCCGCACGCCACCGCGAGCACAUCACGCACGAACAACGCGCAGACAGCACGUGAACGACGCGUGAAGCAGCACGCCACCGCGCUCAGAACAGUACCCGUGAUAGACGAGAAUAACUGAACAGGUGACAAGUUUAUACUAAACGAAUGUUAAAUAAAUAGAAAGUAGUUAAAUUAAUAUUAUCCAGGUUAGCCAAAGUUGAACACUACACAUUUAAUCUGAUUAGAAUAUUAAUCUAAUAAAUAUUAAUCGAGCGAGCCUUAAGUUAAGUAUCUAAAAUAUAUGACCCGACAGAUUAACAUUAUUAACGUGAGUGUUCGUAAGCGAAAACAAUUUAUUAUCAUGAGCAGACGUUGUGCGACACUCAUGAUCGUCACGCGAGACAAUGCGCACGACACCGCACGACACGCGUGAGGCAACGCGACUACGCGCGUGAACAACACGAUGACGCGCAAACGAUGUCGUGCGUGAACAACAACAAAUAAAUAAUUAAUUAAAAGUAUUUAAGCUGGUAUUAAUCAAGUUAAUUAACAUUUAUAAUCGUAGAAGUCUGAGUUAAAACUACAACCUAGUUUUAAAUAGAAGGUAAUAACUAUAGAAUACCAAAAGAAUAGAUAAUUAAUUAAUCAAUUAAACUUGCGACAUGACUAGAUAACAUUACUAAUACAGAAUCGAUGUUGUUACGAAGUUGACACAACUAAAACGAGCUGACACAGGUUUGCGAUGCAUAACGUAUUGAACAAUUAACAAUUCGUGGCUAAACACGACGCGACAUGCAAAUACCACAAGGCUAUGGUUAAAUGUGCAAAACUAUAUUUCUAAGUUGAUUUUUGUUAGUGUAAAUUAUUAGCGUAAGAUAUUUUAGAUAAAUUAAAUCAUCAAUUGGUCAAUGAUAAGAAUUAAUUACUAUGCAUGAACGAUUAUAGUGAACGAUUAACCAAAGUGCGCGGAUCGCGCGCACGAUACGCGCGGAUGGUGACGGCGCACGCAAACGGCAACAACAACACGAGCGGUACGCGCGAUAACUCGCAAGAAGUGUGGGUCGCUGCGCAAGACGCGAACGAUGCGCGACGAAGCAGGCGAGUAGCACGCGCGACAUACGCGAACGACGCGCGCGAAACGCGAUAAAACUAAAUAGUCGUCGCAUUUAUAUCAAACAAAUAUUAGAGCAAAACAUUUGAGUUACUAUUAAUUAUGUCGACCAGUAUUUAUAAAGCGCAAGUCAACUAUUUAUAAAUUAGUUUUUAAUUGAAAAGUCUAAUUAAUUAAUGUUGGUUAGACAAAAAUAUAAUUAAUUAUUUAUAACGUGCGACAUGGUGAAACAAGGAUACUAACAUGUAGACGAAGCUUACCUCGCAACGAUGACAGAUGUCUAGGCGAGCUCGCGGCGAGGUAUGACGGCGGCGAGACUAUUGCGCCGGGGUCGCGCAAAGGGCCGGGCCAAACUACGCAGGCCGCGCGGACGAGUUACGCUGGGUGUGACGACCGUGGCGAGGUGCGGCUCCCAGCUCGACGGCCACACGACGACAAGGCGAGUCAGCGACGUACGACAAGAUGCGGACGGUGAUGAGCAGGCGCAGGUCGAGGUGAGGCGAGGACUACCGGCGACUGGAUGGCACCAUCGGCGCGACCAGAGCAGGUGCUCGGCGCGGGGUGCUGGCACGGCUAGGCCAUGCCCGUGGCCAAGGAGAAGGGGGAGAGGGGCGAGUGGGCACAAGAACCGGCGUGGGCGGCUUUUGGCGACGUGAGCGCAAGGUACUCGAACGGUUGGAGAAGCAGACGUGCCCUGGGCGUGGCUCUGGCGCACAGGCCCCACUGGGCAGCGACGAUGGUGUCUGAACCACACGCGCGCACUGCACGCGCUGGAGCGUGGUGACCCAGAGUGGGGCUAGCGAGGGGGCGCUCCCGGCUAGGCCGCCACUGGGCCACGCGAGCGCGCACGCCGUGGGCAGAGCGGAGGCGCAGGGAUGCUCGCGGCCAUGGCUAGAGCUGGCGUGCGGGGGGGUGCGAAGCUAUGCCGGGUGGGCAUGGCCAUGGUGGAGCAGCGACUGGAACGGCUUGCCACAAGGGAAAGGAGGAGGGGAGGCGCUCGCGUCGAGGGACUAGGGAGAGGAUGGGCACAUGGCUUACCUGGGCGUCGACGUCACGCGAGCUGUGGAUGGUGCUCUGGGUCCCAGGUGAUGGUUGUUGCGCAUGUGAGGAGGGGAAGAGGAGGGGAAGGAGCAAAGGCGCUGGGCGGGGUGGUUGGCAUCGUGGGCGAGAUGGGUGGGAGAAGGCGGUUUGGAGAAGAUGAAUAGGAGAUGGGGCGACCUGGUGGGUGGGGCCCACACGCAGGCGGCAGCGCUGGGUGGCUCCCUGGCUAGAGCGUGCGGUGCUCAGCUCGAGCACUGGGACGCGCGAGGCCGAACGGGCCGG
rnacentral:lncRNA from 1 species